rnacentral:rRNA from 1 species
AUUGAACGCUGGCGGCAGGCCUAACACAUGCAAGUCGUGCGGAUGAAGGGAGCUUGCGCCUGGAUUCAGCGGCGGACGGGUGAGUAAUGCCUAUGAAUCUGCCUGGUAGUGGGGGAUAACGUCCGGAAACGGGCGCUAAUACCGCAUACGUCCUGAGGGAGAAAGUGGGGGAUCUUCGGACCUCACGCUAUCAGAUGAGCCUAGGUCGGAUUAGCUAGUUGGUGGGGUAAAGGCCUACCAAGGCGACGAUCCGUAACUGGUCUGAGAGGAUGAUCAGUCACACUGGAACUGAGAUACGGUCCAGACUCCUACAGGAGGCAGCAGUGGGGACUAUUGGACAAUGGGCGGAAGCCUGAUCAAGCCAUGCCGCGUGUGUGCAGAAGGUCUUCGGAUUGUAAAACACUUUAAGUUGGGAGGACGGGCAGUAAGUUAAUCCCUUGCUGUUUUGACGGUACCAACAGAAUAAGCACCGGCUAACUUCGUG